rnacentral:rRNA from 1 species
CCUACGGGGGGCACCAGCGGGGAAUAUUGCACAAUGGGCGCAAGCCUGAUGCAGCCAUGCCGCGUGUGUGAAGAAGGCCUUCGGGUUGUAAAGCACUUUCAGCGGGGAGGAAGGCGAUAAGGUUAAUAACCUUGUCGAUCGACGUUACCCGCAGAAGAAGCACCGGCUAACUCCGUGCCAGCAGCCGCGGUAAUACGGAGGGUGCAAGCGUUAAUCGGAAUUACUGGGCGUAAAGCGCACGCAGGCGGUCUGUCAAGUCGGAUGUGAAAUCCCCGGGCUCAACCGUGGAACUGCAUUCGAAACUGGCAGGCUAGAGUCUUGUAGAGGGGGGUAGAAUUCCAGGUGUAGCGGUGAAAUGCGUAGAGAUCUGGAGGAAUACCGGUGGCGAAGGCGGCCCCCUGGACAAAGACUGACGCUCAGGUGCGAAAGCGUGGGGAGCAAACAGGAUUAUAUACCCUGGUAGUC